CCCUAAUCGCAAACAACUCACAUCACAACUAAGACAAUAAGAUCAUGUAAAAUACAAGUAGGUCAGCAGCAGGAAGAAUAGCAAUGGUUUAAGCAAAUAUACAGGGGAGUGUCUGCUAGAGAUUACUGUUGCUGUUUACACUACAAUAUCAUCAGUAUGGAAUUUUGCUUAAGAGAAGAGGGAUUACCAUAUUUUCCAGCACGUCUACAGGAUCUUUAAUUGAUUAAAUACAGAGAAGAGGAGUGAGAAAAACAGCAUGCUGAAGACCAACCACAGGAAAGUCUGCCUGGGCCCGAUGACAUCACUUCUGGUUCUGGACCAGAUGACAUCACGUCCAGUUCCUACCCAGAUGACAUCAUUUCCCCUGCCAUACUUAAGUCUGUAAAGAACAUUGCUUAAACCUUUUGCCUUUUUAUUCAGCCAACAUUUCAAGUAUACAGAGUGGCUGCCCCAAACCUUUUUUGCAGUGUCAUUGGCAUUUAUUUCACAAGGUGUAACUAAUCUCACCGUACUCUACAAACAUACAAGUACAGUAGAGAAAAGAAUGUAACGAUUUUGAGCCAGAUGUACAUCAGAGUAACUUUUUAUAUAAAUAAAAGAAUGGCUGAGAAGUUGACCCCAUGAUUACAAAGAUGUAGCUUAACAUGGUUUCAUCUUCAUUCUUAAGCCCUUGACUUUUCAUUAUGUGGUAAAAAGAAAAAGAGACUCAAAAAUAAAAAUGGGAAUUCCAUAAAAUCCAAAUAUCAUCAGGCUUCAUCCUAACCUACACUAUACAUUUCAUUUUUGCAAUUAACAAAAAAAUCCUGAAAGCUUUUCAUUAUAACACCAAAUGGGUGAUCAGAUAUCUGCUAAUCUGUAACUCUGAACAUCUGACUUCCUUAACUAUCUUGAUACAAAACUGAAUAGUUAUAAAUCAAUAAAUACUUAAUAAAGAAAUCUUGUGGUUUUUCACUACUUUCUUUUUCUUACGACUUUUUGUGCCCCAUGGAACAUAAGGCAGAAAUAUGAUGAUGCCAAGCAAAUUUGUCAAGUGCCAGUUACUGUACUUCUGUCUGAUUCAUACACAGUAAGUGAAGGUCUUUGUUAAUGUUUUGUGCCCUGAUCGUUCUUGGUCUGCCCGAUUGCCAUUGUUCUGGGAAAGGCCCACUACAUGGCUUGUUUACGUAAUCUGCUUUUGUUCAUACAUAUUAGAAGGAAAAACCAAGCUAGGCGUCUUUUCUGUACUUUGUACUGAUGGGCAACUAGGCAGCUCUUGUCCAAACCAUAUCUGUACUGGUCAUUUCUUGUCAUCAUAUGUGCAUGAUUUGGUGUAGACCACAUGAAUCAAUGCUGUCCAGUUUAGCAUGUUGUGCCUUCGUGAGAAAGGAAACAUGUCUCAGCCUCAUAUAGAAGAAUUGGGAUAACACUAUUAUAUAUAGUGUCAUCUUGGUGUAUGUGGACAGCUGCUUGUCAUCCCAAA